UUAUUAAUAAGAAUCAUUCCGUCCACACUUUCCUCUUUUUUUGAAUGUUUAGUUACGAAGAAAUUGUAAAUACUUAAUCAAUGUGAUUGGGAAUGACAAUUUAAAACAUAUUUCUUGCAAAAUUGUGCGUUUACAAGUUAAUCUUUAUAUGCUAAUAGGAUGUUAUCGCUUAUAUGCAAAGCACAGCGAACUAAUUUUGUCUUUUUUGCAAUUACUCUAUGUGAGUAUUAAAGCAGUUAAACACUUCAGACAGCGGGCACGUAAACAUAGUUAGUUGCUGUAGAGUUGUUUUCACCAAAUCCAAUUCGGUUUGUAAGAAGGAAGACGGCACAACAAAUUCUUAAAUAUUAGGCAGAAUGCUUCGACACAUCAUUCUUUACCAUAGUGGUGGAAGAGGAUGGACUUAUAUUGGCAUGGCAUGGCAGCGAUGGCCCAUCAUGCCCCUUAUGUUGCUUGAAGCUAUAUUUCUGUGAAAGUUUCGAGUGCCGAAAGCAGGUCUCAAGCACGUGCCAUAAAUAAAACGAUGCUUUAAGGACAACAUGCAUACCGCUGCUUAUCCUCUUUUUUUUUUAAAUAAAUUAAAUAAUAUACAUUUUUUAUUCUUUCUACUUCGUUAAUUUCUACUUCAUUUUGCCAGCUGAACCAACAAACAGAAGCCAACGAUUAAACUUUUCAAAUAAGAAAUCAUAUAUGUAAA